GUCGUAACAAGGUUUCCGUAGGUGAACCUGCGGAAGGAUCAUUAACGAGUUUUGAAACGAGUUGUAGCUGGCCUUCCGAGGCAUGUGCACGCUCUGCUCAUCCACUCUACCCCUGUGCACUUACUGUAGGUUGGCGUGGGCUCCUUAACGGGAGCAUUCUGCCGGCCUAUGUAUACUACAAACRCUUUAAAGUAUCAGAAUGUAARCGCGUCUAACGCAUCUAUAAUACAACUUUUAGCAACGGAUCUCUUGGCUCUCGCAUCGAUGAAGAACGCAGCGAAAUGCGAUAAGUAAUGUGAAUUGCAGAAUUCAGUGAAUCAUCGAAUCUUUGAACGCACCUUGCGCUCCUUGGUAUUCCGAGGAGCAUGCCUGUUUGAGUGUCAUGGAAUUCUCAACUUAUAAAUCCUUGUGAUCUAUAAGCUUGGACUUGGAGGCUUGCUGGCCCUUGCGGUCGGCUCCUCUUGAAUGCAUUAGCUCGAUUCCGUACGGAUCGGCUCUCAGUGUGAUAAUUGUCUACGCUGUGACCGUGAAGUGUUUUGGCGAGCUUCUAACCGUCCAUUAGGACAACUUUUUAACAUCUGACCUCAAAUCAGGUAGGACUA
rnacentral:rRNA from 1 species